rnacentral:rRNA from 1 species
GGGUGCGAUCAUACCAACGUUAAUGCACCAGAUACCAUCAGAACUCUACAACUAAGCAUGCUUGGGAUAAAGUGGUAUUGGAAUGGGUGACCUCCCAAGAAGUCCUAGUGUUGCACCCU